UACGUAGGGGGGCAAGCGUUGUCCGGAUUUAUUGGGCGUAAAGCGCGUGUAGGCGGCCAUACAGGUCCGUUGUGAAAACUCGAGGCUCAACCUCGAGACGCCGAUGGAAACCAUCUGACUAGAGUCCGGAAGAGGAGAGUGGAAUUCCUGGUGUAGCGGUGAAAUGCGCAGAUAUCAGGAAGAACACCCGUGGCUAAGGCGGCUCUCUAGUACGGUACUGACGCUGAGACGCGAAAGCGUGGGGAGCGAACAGG
rnacentral:rRNA from 1 species